CCUACGGGUGGCAGCAGUGGGGAAUAUUGCGCAAUGGACGAAAGUCUGACGCAGCAACGCCGCGUGAGUGAUGAAGGCCUUCGGGUUGUAAAGCUCUGUCAGGUGGAACGAAAAGGCGCAAGCCCUGACGGUACCACCAGAGGAAGCACCGGCUAACUCCGUGCCAGCAGCCGCGGUAAUACGGAGGGUGCAAGCGUUGCUCGGAAUUAUUGGGCGUAAAGCGCACGCAGGCGGUCGAUUAAGUCGGUUGUGAAACGCCCGGGCUCAACCCGGGACCUGCAGCCGAUACUGGUUGACUGGAGUACGGAAGAGGGGAGCGGAAUUCCCAGUGUAGAGGUGAAAUUCGUAGAGAUUGGGAGGAACACCGGAGGCGAAAGCGGCUCCCUGGUCCGAUACUGACGCUCAUGUGCGAAAGCGUGGGGAGCAAACAGGAUUAGAUACCCCAGUAGUC
rnacentral:rRNA from 1 species